rnacentral:piRNA from 1 species
AAAAUUGUGGCAAUAACAAACGAC